rnacentral:rRNA from 1 species
AUUGAACGCUGGCGGCAGGCUUAACACACGCAAGUCGAGCGGGGGAAGGUAGCUUGCUACCGGACCUAGCGGCGGACGGGUGAGUAAUGCUUAGGAAUCUGCCUAUUAGUGGGGGACAACAUCUCGAAAGGGAUGCUAAUACCGCAUACGUCCUACGGGAGAAAGCAGGGGAUCUUCGGACCUUGCGCUAAUAGAUGAGCCUAAGUCGGAUUAGCUAGUUGGUGGGGUAAAGGCCUACCAAGGCGACGAUCUGUAGCGGGUCUGAGAGGAUGAUCCGCCACACUGGGACUGAAACACGGCCCAGACUCCUACGGGAGGCAGCAGUGGGGAAUAUUGGACAAUGGGGGGAACCCUGAUCCAGCCAUGCCGCGUGUGUGAAGAAGGCCUUAUGGUUGUAAAGCACUUUAAGCGAGGAGGAGGCUACUCUAGUUAAUACCUAGGGAUAGUGGACGUUACUCGCAGAAUAAGCACCGGCUAACUCUGUGCCAGCCGCCGCGGUAA